AUGAAACCAAAUCAGCCUCAAACCAAGCCAUGCUCAAACAUCAACGAUCGCAGUUGGGGAGGAACCAAGAUUUGAGUCUUUCUAUCACGCAUACAAGGAAGGCGUUUUUCAGUCCAUCUGGUAUCUCGACGCCCCCGCUCCUUGUUUGAAUGUCGACUGGGCUUUACCAUUAUUGACUGGAGAUUUUAUCGAUUGGUAAUGAUGAAGACUGAGUAAGGUAGAGAUGUCGUGAUCUUGGACGCGAAUGAUGGAGCCGUGAAGAAUUCCAUUCGCAAUAUGGGAAUAGAACUGAGGUAAUUCUUUUCGCCAAUGAUUUGGUGGAUGGCCUUGAAGAGGUUGGGAGGAAGAUUCCCAAUAGAUCCUUUGCAGAAAAAUGAAGAAUCGUACAAGAGGCUAGAAACAGCUUUGAAACCAUCAUCUUGCCCAUACUUGCGGUUGCGGAAUCGGCUUUUCCUCCGGUCUCCUACCAGUUAUAUAGAAAUAACCUAUUACUUCUCGGCAUCUCAUGGGCAGACCACGUUUAUACGGAGGUUGAUGCCAAAAAAGCAGCCAUCGCAUUGCAUUAUAAACAAUACCGUCACUAGAUGCUCGCUUGAAGGCAAAGAUGGCAGGGAGUGUAAGUGAAGGCGGCGGGUCUGCGUCGGUAUUGGCACUCAAAGGGAGAGCAGAGACAGGGUGUGAUGAUAAUGAUUUUUCGACCAUCUACGACUAUUUACGGUCAACCAAGACCCUUUUAGUUGAACUUGAGUUAUUUCCUUAAUUGUUAUGAGCAUAUGAAAGCACGAUGGAUAAUCAUGGUUUUGUUUAGAUGCUAUAACUGGAAUUCUAUGCACCAUGCAAAGUUAUUUUUUGAU
rnacentral:sRNA from 1 species